UACGGAGGGUGCGAGCGUUGUCCGGAAUCAUUGGGCGUAAAGAGCGUGUAGGCGGCCCGAUAAGUCCGCUGUGAAAGUCCAGGGCUCAACCCUGGGAUGCCGGUGGAUACUGUCGGGCUCGAAUCCGGAAGAGGUGAGUGGAAUUCCUGGUGUAGCGGUGAAAUGCGCAGAUAUCAGGAGGAACACCAAUGGCGAAGGCAGCUCACUGGGACGGUAUUGACGCUGAGACGCGAAAGCGUGGGGAGCAAACAGG
rnacentral:rRNA from 1 species